rnacentral:lncRNA from 1 species
ACUGGGGCAAAACUAAACAAAAUAGCCCCCAUCCUAACAUAUAAUUGGGUAACACGAAUGACAGUGUGUUCGUCUUACCCAGUUUCUUGUUGAGAUUGGGGUUGAAUGAAUUCAUUUUUAUUUUUUUUUAUUUUCAGGCUAGUUUAACAUGAGAGUACAGACAGAAAACAGCAGUAUUGUGUUUAAGCUUAGCUAGACCAUAUUUUAGAAAAUACUUUAAAAUGAUUGGAAUAGAAACUAGCUUAUAAGCCAGCUUUGACUACAUUAUGCAGCAAGUCCUCUGGGGUCGAAAGUCAUUGUAGGAAAUGUAUGAGGUUAUUAACUGAGGUAACAGUGGAUAAGGGAGGUUGUUAGGAAAAGCAGAUAAACUGAAAACAUAAAGUGAGAGAUCACAAAAUAACUAAAACAUCUCGAACGUCACAUUUUUAGGUAUUCAGGGGAAGAAUUUUCCUUUACAUACAAGGAAAAAUAAGAGAGAGAAAAUGGAUGGCAUGCUGCAGAGGUUACGAAUAGGACACACAAUGUUACAAAUGAUGAACCAUUCUGGGCAUAAGAUCUCCUCUCUGCCCGUCUCUGUGGGGCUUCUCUCCAUUGAACCCCAUUAGUUUUCUCCUUGGAGCCACCUUAUCCAGGUAACAGACGCUCAUCCACAGCUCAACAAUGAAACAAGGUUCAUUAGUCCUAAUUGUUUGUGUUUUGUCUCCAUUUUUAAAGCCUGUCUACUUUCUUAACAAGGCCAAUCACUCACAGCUCCACACAUAACACGCCUGACACUACAAACACACUUCAAAAUCCUGUCUCUGUGUCCCGGCGCUCUGCUGUAACUUUUCACACCCACGCACCCUCUGCUUCCCAGAUCCAGAUAAAAACGCCAUUGUUAUCCAGCUGUGCUUUUCUCUCCUGAACUGGAUUGCAGCUUUUAAGAUGGAAAAGAGAGGCUGAUUAUUAGGAGAUGAGCAAACGCUGGCUGUAGAGAGAGCAGCAACUCACCCAGGGUGGGGUGUGGAGGGGGGGGUUAUACUCUGAAUGCUAAUGCGGGGCUGGAGAAAGGGCAAACAGGCCUAUUGAGA